AGCCAGUCUUCCCAAGGUGAAAUCCUAACUUUGCCACUUACUAGCCAUGUGAACUUGGGCAAGUGACCUAAUCCUCUGCAUUUCAUCUCUAAAUUGGGGAGAAUAGAAGCAUCUACUUCAUGUAGUAGCCAGGAUUAGAAGAGGGAGGAAUAACUGGGCCCUGGAUAGAAUGUGAUGAAUGUAUAUUCUUAAUGAGAAGUGGAAAUAAUUUGUGGUUGAGAGCUGUGCCUCAGAUCAGAGUGACAGGAUACAUGGCUAGGCUAUAUUUUCCAGCAGAUUAAGAGCUGCGGCCCAAGACUCUGAAAUAUGAAGAAAAAAGGAGAAGAUGACAGCAUAUCUUUUUAAAGAAAUAUUUUCCAGCCAAAUGGUGUAGCAGAGGACUUCCAGGAAUUUGUUCUUGUUCUGUAUCAAAGGUGAAGAGUUCGUAGCCUUCAAGGAAACAAGAAACCAUGGGAUGGAGUGAAGGAAGGUGGCCUGGAACCAGCUGCUGAGCCUCUCUGAGCCCCAGUUUCCUCGUCUCUAAAAUGGGGCUGAUCUCCUCUCCCUCAGACUGUUGUUGCAGGAAUUAAAACAGGUGUUGAGUGGGAAAGCAUCAGUCCCAUAGCAAAUGGCCCCUGAGUAGUAGGAUCUGAGUUCUGGUUCUGGUCCUGCUGGGGUAUGGCUGGUUGAGAGGUCAAAGAGGUAAUUAAAGGGAUUGCCAGCUUCA
rnacentral:lncRNA from 1 species